UACGGAGGGAGCUAGCGUUGUUCGGAAUUACUGGGCGUAAAGCGCGCGUAGGCGGCUUUGUAAGUUAGAGGUGAAAGCCCGGGGCUCAACCCCGGAACUGCCUUUAAGACUGCAUCGCUUGAAUCCAGGAGAGGUGAGUGGAAUUCCGAGUGUAGAGGUGAAAUUCGUAGAUAUUCGGAAGAACACCAGUGGCGAAGGCGGCUCACUGGACUGGUAUUGACGCUGAGACGCGAAAGCGUGGGGAGCAAACAGG
rnacentral:rRNA from 1 species